UGCCUUGGUUACCUCAACCUGAGAAUAGUUAACUAGUACACAUCUCACCAAGUCAUUGUGAGGAUGGAAUGACCUCAUCAAUGAGUAAUCAAAUUUCUCACAACCCUCCUUAGUCCAAAUGAACACCAAUAAGGAAUAACCUUUAAAAGCCUCAUGUCAACCCCAUGAAGUAGAUCCUCAUCCUAUGGAUAAGGAUCUUGAGACGGAAAGUAACUGGCCCACGAGUUUACAGAUGAUGGAUAGACAAUUGUGGAGACAGGAUGCCAGUCCAGCGGAGUCUGGCUACAAAAUGCCCACACGAAGCACUCAUUGAAAUAGAGUAUUUUGUAACCUGUUCCUUUCACAGUCUUUUGAAUUUACAUUUGGAUAUAAACUCUAGAAAGGCAGGAGCAACUAUGCCUUCCACUUGGUACAGGUUUUUUGGUGUGACCCAGUUUAGUGUCCUGGAAAUACAUGGCAACAAUUGCUGAAAGAGAGGAAAUCGACAUUUAUAAAGCACUUACGAAAUAUCUGCCAAGAACUAUGGCCGGCUACUGAGAUGUUUUACAGAUGUUGCCUAGAGGAUGGUUUUUUUCUUUCCUCGGACUAUGUUUUCUCCUUAUGGAACGAACACAGUAAUUGAGAGCAGGAUUUUAAAGACAAAUCAAACUUGAUGGCAUAAGACCUAUUUCAAGCUGGAUCGACCAAAACGAAUAACUGAGCAUUUGGAGAGUAAGGUUUUAGGUUGGAUCAAGAGCCUAAAGGGUACCAUAACCUCAUUCUAUAGUGUAAAUGAUGCCAUAAUAGCCUGGCUUCUCCUUUUACAUUUCUUCCAUCUGCUUUCUCGAUGUUGUCUCCACUUCUCAGUCCCCGUGUGGUUGGAAGAUGGCUUCACCCAGGCCCUACAUCUUCAGAGGUUCAUAUUUAGUGGGGUUAAGGGUAAAUCGGAUUAACUUUUUUACCUGAAAAGUGGCAAAAUGAAUGUCAAGU